rnacentral:rRNA from 1 species
AUUGAACGCUGGCGGCAGGCCUAACACAUGCAAGUCGAGCGGAUGAAGAGAGCUUGCUCUCUGAUUCAGCGGCGGACGGGUGAGUAAUGCCUAGGAAUCUGCCUGGUAGUGGGGGACAACGUUUCGAAAGGAACGCUAAUACCGCAUACGUCCUACGAGAGAAAGCAGGGGACCUUCGGGCCUUGCGCUAUCAGAUGAGCCUAGGUCGGAUUAGCUAGUAGGUGAGGUAAUGGCUCACCUAGGCGACGAUCCGUAACUGGUCUGAGAGGAUGAUCAGUCACACUGGAACUGAGACACGGUCCAGACUCCUACGGGAGGCAGCAGUGGGGAAUAUUGGACAAUGGGCGAAAGCCUGAUCCAGCCAUGCCGCGUGUGUGAAGAAGGUCUUCGGAUUGUAAAGCACUUUAAGUUGGGAGGAAGGGCAGUAAGUUAAUACCUUGCUGUUUUGACGUUACCAACAGAAUAAGCACCGGCUAACUUCGUGCCAGCCGCCGCCGUAACAC